rnacentral:rRNA from 1 species
AUCGUGAUAAGGGAACCCCGAGUGCCCGUAAAUUCGGGCUGUCCGCCAGUGUAAAUAACUGGUGAAGAAAGGGCCGGGCAAGACCGGUGCCAGCCGCCGCGGUAAUACCGGCGGCUCGAGUGGUGGCCACUAUUACUGGGCUUAAAGCGUCCGUAGCUGGAUUGUUAAGUCUCUUGGGAAAUCCACCGGCUCAACCGAUGGGCGUUCAGGAGAAACUGGCAAUCUAGGGACCGGGAGAGGUGAGAGGUACUCCAGGGGUAGGAGUGAAAUCCUGUAAUCCUUGGGGGACCACCUGUGGCGAAGGCGUCUCACUAGAACGGCUCCGACAGUGAGGGACGAAAGCUGGGGGAGCAAACCGGAUUAGAUACCCGGGUAGUCCCAGCUGUAAACGAUGCGCGUUAGGUGUAUCGGUGACCACGAGUCAUCGAGGUGCCGAAGGGAAACCGUGAAACGUG